rnacentral:rRNA from 1 species
GGGUUGUGAGGUUAAGCGACUAAGCGUACACGGUGGAUGCCCUGGCAGUCAGAGGCGAUGAAGGACGUGCUAAUCUGCGAUAAGCGCCGGUAAGGUGAUAUGAACCGUUAUAACCGGCGAUUUCCGAAUGGGGAAACCCAGUGUGACUCGUCACACUAUCAUUAACUGAAUCCAUAGGUUAAUGAGGCGAACCGGGGGAACUGAAACAUCUAAGUACCCCGAGGAAAAGAAAUCAACCGAGAUUCCCCCAGUAGCGGCGAGCGAACGGGGAGGAGCCCAGAGCCUGAAUCAGCAUGUGUGUUAGUGGAAGCGUCUGGAAAGGCGCGCGAUACAGGGUGACAGCCCCGUACACAAAAGCGCAUGUGCUGUGAGCUCGAUGAGUAGGGCGGGACACGUGGUAUCCUGUCUGAAUAUGGGGGGACCAUCCUCCAAGGCUAAAUACUCCUGACUGACCGAUAGUGAACCAGUACCGUGAGGGAAAGGCGAAAAGAACCCCGGCGAGGGGAGUGAAAAAGAACCUGAAACCGUGUACGUACAAGCAGUGGGAGCCCCACCACUAAGCCAGUGGUGAACUCCACAUACGCAUCCUUUGCUGAGGAUACGGUUAACGGAGCGAAAGCGACGUUCAACCUCAAAAGAAGCAGAGGGGGCUUAGUGGUGGGGUGACUGCGUACCUUUUGUAUAAUGGGUCAGCGACUUAUAUUCUGUAGCAAGGUUAACCGAAUAGGGGAGCCGGAGGGAAACCGAGUCUUAACCGGGCGUUAAGUUGCAGGGUAUAGACCCGAAACCCGGUGAUCUAGCCAUGGGCAGGUUGAAGGUUGGGUAACACUAACUGGAGGACCGAACCGACUAAUGUUGAAAAAUUAGCGGAUGACCUGUGGCUGGGGGUGAAAGGCCAAUCAAACCGGGAGAUAGCUGGUUCUCCCCGAAAGCUAUUUAGGUAGCGCCUCGUGAAUUCAUCUCCGGGGGUAGAGCACUGUUUCGGCUAGGGGGCCAUCCCGGCUUACCAACCCGAUGCAAACUGCGAAUACCGGAGAAUGUUAUCACGGGAGACACACGGCGGGUGCUAACGUCCGUCGUGAAGAGGGAAACAACCCAGACCGCCAGCUAAGGUCCCAAAGUCAUGGUUAAGUGGGAAACGAUGUGGGAAGGCCCAGACAGCCAGGAUGUUGGCUUAGAAGCAGCCAUCAUUUAAAGAAAGCGUAAUAGCUCACUGGUCGAGUCGGCCUGCGCGGAAGAUGUAACGGGGCUAAACCAUGCACCGAAGCUGCGGCAGCGACACUAUGUGUUGUUGGGUAGGGGAGCGUUCUGUAAGCCUGUGAAGGUGGCCUGUGAGGGUUGCUGGAGGUAUCAGAAGUGCGAAUGCUGACAUAAGUAACGAUAAAGCGGGUGAAAAGCCCGCUCGCCGGAAGACCAAGGGUUCCUGUCCAACGUUAAUCGGGGCAGGGUGAGUCGACCCCUAAGGCGAGGCCGAAAGGCGUAGUCGAUGGGAAACGGGUUAAUAUUCCCGUACUUGGUGUUACUGCGAAGGGGGGACGGAGAAGGCUAUGUUGGCCGGGCGACGGUUGUCCCGGUUUAAGCGUGUAGGUGUGUGUUCCAGGUAAAUCCGGUUCACUUUAACACUGAGGCGUGAUGACGAGGCACUACGGUGCUGAAGCAACAAAUGCCCUGCUUCCAGGAAAAGCCUCUAAGCAUCAGGUAACAUCAAAUCGUACCCCAAACCGACACAGGUGGUCAGGUAGAGAAUACCAAGGCGCUUGAGAGAACUCGGGUGAAGGAACUAGGCAAAAUGGUGCCGUAACUUCGGGAGAAGGCACGCUGACACGUAGGUGAAGUGAUUUACUCAUGGAGCUGAAGUCAGUCGAAGAUACCAGCUGGCUGCAACUGUUUAUUAAAAACACAGCACUGUGCAAACACGAAAGUGGACGUAUACGGUGUGACGCCUGCCCGGUGCCGGAAGGUUAAUUGAUGGGGUCAGCGCAAGCGAAGCUCCUGAUCGAAGCCCCGGUAAACGGCGGCCGUAACUAUAACGGUCCUAAGGUAGCGAAAUUCCUUGUCGGGUAAGUUCCGACCUGCACGAAUGGCGUAAUGAUGGCCAGGCUGUCUCCACCCGAGACUCAGUGAAAUUGAACUCGCUGUGAAGAUGCAGUGUACCCGCGGCAAGACGGAAAGACCCCGUGAACCUUUACUAUAGCUUGACACUGAACAUUGAGCCUUGAUGUGUAGGAUAGGUGGGAGGCUUUGAAGUGUGGACGCCAGUCUGCAUGGAGCCGGCCUUGAAAUACCACCCUUUAAUGUUUGAUGUUCUAACGUGGACCCGUGAUCCGGGUUGCGGACAGUGUCUGGUGGGUAGUUUGACUGGGGCGGUCUCCUCCUAAAGAGUAACGGAGGAGCACGAAGGUUGGCUAAUCCUGGUCGGACAUCAGGAGGUUAGUGCAAUGGCAUAAGCCAGCUUGACUGCGAGCGUGACGGCGCGAGCAGGUGCGAAAGCAGGUCAUAGUGAUCCGGUGGUUCUGAAUGGAAGGGCCAUCGCUCAACGGAUAAAAGGUACUCCGGGGAUAACAGGCUGAUACCGCCCAAGAGUUCAUAUCGACGGCGGUGUUUGGCACCUCGAUGUCGGCUCAUCACAUCCUGGGGCUGAAGUAGGUCCCAAGGGUAUGGCUGUUCGCCAUUUAAAGUGGUACGCGAGCUGGGUUUAGAACGUCGUGAGACAGUUCGGUCCCUAUCUGCCGUGGGCGCUGGAGAACUGAGGGGGGCUGCUCCUAGUACGAGAGGACCGGAGUGGACGCAUCACUGGUGUUCGGGUUGUCAUGCCAAUGGCACUGCCCGGUAGCUAAAUGCGGAAGAGAUAAGUGCUGAAAGCAUCUAAGCACGAAACUUGCCCCGAGAUGAGUUCUCCCUGAGACUUAGAGUCUCCUGAAGGAACGUUGAAGACGACGACGUUGAUAGGCCGGGUGUGUAAGCGCAGCGAUGCGUUGAGCUAACCGGUACUAAUGAACCGUGAGGCUUAACCUUACAACGCCGAAG